UGGAUUGGGAAUUUGAUUAUCAUGGGGAAUUUGAUAUAGAUUGGGAAUUUGAUAUGGAUCAGGAAUUUGAUAAGAAUUGGCAAUUUGAUCUGGAUUGGGAAUUUGAUUUUCAUGGGGAAUUUCAUAAGGAUGAGGAAUUUUAUAAGGACAAGGAAUUUGAUAUGGAUCAGAAUUUGAUAUGGAUUGGGAAUUCGAUAAGGAUUGGGAAUUUGAUAUGGAUCAGAAUUUGAUCUGGAUCAGAAUUUGAUAAGGAUCGGGAAUUUGAGGCUGGAAUUCCAUAGAACAGAGAUGGGUGGGGGAGUUGGAGAAAAUCCUGGAAUUUUUGUCCCAGAUGUGUUGCUCUCCCUGGAACCCUGAGCCAGAGGGAAUUUGAUGUGGAUAGGGAAUUUGAUCUGGAUUGGGAAUUUGAUCUGGAUUCGGAAUUUGAUGUGGAUCAGGAAUUUGAUGUGGAUCGGGAAUGUGAUGUGGAUCAGGAAUUUGAUGUUGAUCGGAAAUCUGGGGCUGGAAUUCCAUCAAUCAGAGCUGGCUGGAGGAGCUGGGGGAGCUCCCUGGGGGAGCCGAGUUUGUGCCCCACAUUCAACACCCCGAGCCAGCUGAUCCCAGCGGGAAUUCCCGCCCGGAAUUCCGUGUCCUCUCCCAAUCCCGGUUUUUCCCACCACUCCAGGACGUGCUGCGCGUUCCGGAGCGGAGACUCCUGGAGGACAGCAGGAACCUUCCCAUCGCUUCCGGCAGCUCCCGCUCCGAGCGUCUCCUGCUCUUCGACGACGUCCUGGUGCUGAUCCAGGGAAACAGCUUCCAGAGUUUUGAUCUGAAGUUGGUGUGGGUGGAUGAAAACUGCGGAGAGAAAUUGGCUCCGGGAUCGCACGGCCUGCGCGUCACCACCCCGGAGGAGACGUUCGUCCUCUCCACCAAGGACCCCCAAACCAAGGCCGUGUGGCGCUGGAAGCUGGAGCAGGCCGUGCGCCAGGCGCUCAACGGGAAGCGCGAUUUCCCGCUCUGGGGCGGCAGCGGCGACGGAGCCGAGGCUCCUUCCCGAAGAUUCUUCAGCUACGGAUUCCGCAGGGACAGCCGGCUCCGAGGGGCCACCUACGAGGGCGAGUGGCUGGAGGGGAAACCCCACGGCAAGGGGACGCUGAAGUGGAGCGACGGCCGCAACCACGUGGGCGAUUUCCGGGAGGGCCGGGAGCACGGGUGAGCCUGGGAAAACGGGAGCUUUUCCAUGCUGGAAUUUCUCAAGCUGGGCUUUUCCAUCCUGAUGUUUUCCAUGCUGGAAUUUGUGCUUGGAUUCGCCAUGCCGGAAUUUUCCACGUUGGAAUUUUCCAUGCUGGAAUUUUCCCUUCUGACCUUUUCCAUCCUGACCUUUCCCAUGCCGGAAUUUUCCAUCCUGGAAUUUUCCCAUGCUGGAAUUUUUCCCUGCUGGAAUUUUCCCUGCUGGAAUUUUCCAUGCUGGAAUCUUCCAUACUGGAAUUUUCCCUACAGGAAUUUUCCCUGCUGGAAUUUUCCAUCCUGAUGUUUUCCAUGCUGGAAUUUCUACUUGGCUUUUCCAUGCUGGAAUUUUUCCAUCCUGACAUUUUCCCCGCUGGAAUUUUCCCUGCUGGAAUUUUCCCUGCUGGAAUUUUUCCCGCUGGAAUUUUCUCUUCUGGAAUUUUCCCUGCUGGAAUUUUCCACACUGGAAUUUUCCCUGCUGGA
rnacentral:lncRNA from 1 species